rnacentral:rRNA from 1 species
GAUGAACGCUGGCGGCGUGCCUAAUACAUGCAAGUCGAGCGAACGGACGAGAAGCUUGCUUUUCUGUUGUUAGCGGCGGACGGGUGAGUAACACGUGGAUCACCUACCUAUCAGACUGGGAUAACUUCGGGAAACCGGAGCUAAUACCGGAUAAUCUUUUGAUCCGCAUGGUUCAUAAGUGAAAGACGGUCUUGCUGUCACUUCUAGAUGGAUACCCGCUGUUUUAGCUAGUUGGUAAGGUAACGGCUUACCACGGCAACUAUGCAUAGCCGACCUGGGAGGGGGGUCGGCCACACUGGAACUGAGACAGGGACCAGGCUCCUACGGGAGGCAGCAGAAGGGAAUGUGCCGCAAUGGGCGAGAGUAUUGCGGAGCAACGCCACGUGAGUUAUAGAGGUCUUCGGAUCGUAAAACUCUGUUAUGAGUGAAGAACAUAUUUGUAAUGAAAUGUGCACAUCUUGACGGUACCUAAUCAGAAAGCCACGGCUAACUACGUG